rnacentral:rRNA from 1 species
AGUGAACGUUGGCGGCGUGGAUUAGGCAUGCAAGUCGUGCGACGAGGCCCGCAAGGGUGCUCGAGCGGCGAAAGGGAGAGUAAUGCACGGGUAACCUGCCCCUAGGACUGGGAUAGCCGUGGGAAACUGCGGGUAAUACCAGAUGAUGUCUGAUAGCUUCGGCUAUCGGACCAAAGGUGCGAGUCCGCCUAGGGAGGGGCCCGUGUCCUAUCAGCUAGUUGGUGGGGUAACGGCUCACCAAGGCUACGACGGGUACGGGGUGUGAGAGCAUGUCCCCGCUCACUGGGACUGAGACACUGCCCAGACACCUACGGGUGGCUGCAGUCGAGAAUCUUCGGCAAUGGGCGCAAGCCUGACCGAGCGACGCCGCGUGCGGGACGAAGGCCGUUGUGUUGUAAACCGCUGUCAGGGGGAGGAAAUGUCGGCCUCAGGGUCGGCUUGACCUAUCCCCAGAGGAAGGACGGGCUAAGUCCGUGCCAGCAGCCGCGGUAAAGAGUGGUACA